rnacentral:ncRNA from 1 species
UCUUCUUCCUCUGUGAGAAGAAAAAAAAACCUUUCUUAUGUCGUGCUAUGUUCGAGCCGAGACGCACGCAAGACAUCCAACUAUCAGAUAUUAACGUCCGUCCUCUGUUAUGACUCUGAAUAACAAACUUCCCAAUUCCUCGCGAGAAAUCCCGUGGUAUCGCACUGCAUCCAAAUCCGUAGGACUAUUUAUCCGCAGAGGAUGCCAGGCCAGUAGCGACCGGUACGUAUUUCGGGAGGAUCUCUCCUUAGAGUCGGGUUGGUUGAGAGUGCAGCCCUCAGUGGUAAACUCCAUUUAAGGCUAAAUAAGACCGCGAGACCGAUAGCAAACGAGUACCAGAGAAAGUUUAAAAGAACUUUGAAAAAAAAAGUUCAAGAAUACGUGAAACCGUUCACAAGAAUAAACCUGAGAAACCGAAAAAAUUGAAUGAAGAGAUUCAUUAUCGACGGCGCUGGCUACCAUUGGCGUGCGGUGCUUCGGAUGGGCUUCUGUGGUUCCAUUAGAGAGGGUACACCACCUUCGGAACGAACGUUCUGGCGUCGUCGUUUUGUACUUCUCUUCUAGUAAGACGUUGCGACCUGUUGUGUGUCUACGGCCCUAGUGGACGCUUGUCGCGUCGUUUCGGCACAUGCGGUAGACCCUCGAUCGCCCAGCCCUACAAGAGUAGCAUUUCAUGUCCAUUUCAUUCAGUCCAUUCAGUGUGUACGUUCAUCCCGCCGAAAGCUCGGUCAGUUCUAAUCCGGAGGGUCUUACGAUUCAGUGCCGUCCCCGGACCUGGCCAGCUGUAAGCAGGCGGUGUCCUUGGACUGAGCAAACCUCAGAUUAGUGGUCGGUCACGCUAUUGCUUCGGGUACUCUCAGGACCCGUUUUGAAACACGG